AAAGGCGUAAUGAAAGUGAAGGCUUGCCUCGCGCGAGCCGAGGGAGGAUGGGUCGUCACGAGUGGCGGCCCCGCACUCCCAGGGCGUCUCGUUCUCAUCGCGAGAAGAGGCGCACCAAGAGCGUACACGCUGGGACCCGAAAGAUGGUGAACUAUGCCUGGUCAGGACGAAGUCAGGGGAAACCCUGAUGGAGGUCCGUAGCGAUUCUGACGUGCAAAUCGAUCGUCGGAACUGGGUAUAGGGGCGAAAGACUAAUCGAACCAUCUAGUAGCUGGUUCCCUCCGAAGUUUCCCUCAGGAUAGCUGGCGCUCGUCUCUGGCGAGUCUCAUUCGGUAAAGCGAAUGAUUAGAGGCAUUGGGGUCGAAACGGCCUCAACCUAUUCUCAAACUUUAAAUGGGUGAGAUCUCCGGCUUGCUUGAACUGUGAAGCCGCGAGAUAUCGGAUCAGAGUGCCAAGUGGGCCACUUUUGGUAAGCAGAACUGGCGCUGUGGGAUGAACCAAACGCUGAGUUAAAGCGCCUAAAUCGACGCUUAUGGGA
rnacentral:rRNA from 1 species